rnacentral:tRNA from 1 species
GCCUGGGUGGCUCAGUCGGUUGAGUAUCCGAUUUCGGCUCAGAUCAUGAUCUCACAGUCUGUGAGUUCGAGCCCCGCACCAGGCU